UACAGAGGGGGCAAGCGUUAUUCGGAAUUAUUGGGCGUAAAGGGCGCGUAGGCGGCUUGGCAAGUGGAUGGUGAAAUCCCUCGGCUUAACCGAGGAACUGCCGUCCAAACUGCUUCGCUUGAGACCGGGAGAGGUGAGUGGAAUUCCCAGUGUAGCGGUGAAAUGCGUAGAUAUUGGGAGGAACACCAGUGGCGAAGGCGGCUCACUGGACCGGUACUGACGCUGAUGCGCGAAGGCGUGGGGAGCAAACGGG
rnacentral:rRNA from 1 species